AAACGACGGCCAGUAGAGUUUGAUCCUGGCUCAGAGUGAACGCUGGCGGCGUGCCUAAUACAUGCAAGUCGAACGAUGAAACUUCUAGCUUGCUAGAAGUGGAUUAGUGGCGCACGGGUGAGUAAUACAUAGGUAACAUGCCCUUUAGUCUAGGAUAGCCACUGGAAACGGUGAUUAAUACUGGAUACUCCCUACGGGGGAAAGAAUUUCGCUAAAGGAUUGGCCUAUGUCCUAUCAGCUUGUUGGUGAGGUAAUGGCUUACCAAGGCUAUGACGGGUAUCCGGCCUGAGAGGGUGAUCGGACACACUGGAACUGAGACACGGUCCAGACUCCUACGGGAGGCAGCAGUAGGGAAUAUUGCUCAAUGGGCGAAAGCCUGAAGCAGCAACGCCGCGUGGAGGAUGAAGGUUUUAGGAUUGUAAACUCCUUUUGUUAGAGAAGAUUAUGACGGUAUCUAACGAAUAAGCACCGGCUAACUCCGUGCCAGCAGCCGCGGUAAUACGGAGGGUGCAAGCGUUACUCGGAAUCACUGGGCGUAAAGAGUGCGUAGGCGGGUUAAUAAGUCAGAUGUGAAAUACUAUGGCUUAACUAUAGAACUGCAUUUGAAACUAUUAACCUAGAGUAUGGGAGAGGUAGGUGGAAUUCUUGGUGUAGGGGUAAAAUCCGUAGAGAUCAAGAGGAAUACUCAUUGCGAAAGCGACCUACUGGAACAUUACUGACGCUCAUGCACGAAAGCGUGGGGAGCAAACAGGAUUAGAUACCCUGGUAGUCCACGCCCUAAACGAUGAAUGCUAGUUGUUGUGAGGCUUGUCCUUGCAGUAAUGCAGCUAACGCAUUAAGCAUUCCGCCUGGGGAGUACGGUCGCAAGAUUAAAACUCAAAGGAAUAGACGGGGACCCGCACAAGCGGUGGAGCAUGUGGUUUAAUUCGAAGAUACGCGAAGAACCUUACCUAGGCUUGACAUUGAUAGAAUCUGCUAGAGAUAGCGGAGUGCCACGCAAGUGGAGCUUGAAAACAGGUGCUGCACGGCUGUCGUCAGCUCGUGUCGUGAGAUGUUGGGUUAAGUCCCGCAACGAGCGCAACCCUCGUCCUUAGUUGCUAACAGUUCGGCUUGAGCACUCUAAGGAGACUGCUUCUGUAAGGAAGAGGAAGGUGAGGACGACGUCAAGUCAUCAUGGCCCUUACGCCUAGGGCUACACACGUGCUACAAUGGGAUACACAAGGAGAUGCAAUACUGUGAGGUGGAGCUAAUCUUAAAAAUAUCUCUCAGUUCGGAUUGUAGUCUGCAACUCGACUACAUGAAGCUGGAAUCGCUAGUAAUCGUGAAUCAGCCAUGUCACGGUGAAUACGUUCCCGGGUCUUGUACUCACCGCCCGUCACACCAUGGGAGUUGUAUUCGCCUUAAGUCGGGAUACUAAAUUGGUUACUGCCCACGGCGGAUGCAGCGACUGGGGUGAAGUCGUAACAAGGUAACCGUGUAUAGC
rnacentral:rRNA from 1 species